GCAGAGCUGGUGUCUCUUGGAGGCUGAGAGAGAAUACUUCUGUAGGUGUUCUUUUCUAACUCCAGAAGGGGAUCUCAAGGAGAGAACAGGCUGCCUUUGCUUCUGCACUGGGAUUAUUCUUUGGGAGACACUUCAUCUCAGAGAGAUUUCUGUGCAGAAGCGUGUGCCCACAGGAUGUGCUGCUACACACGUAGCGUGUGACUUUCUCAAUGCUAGAGAAGAAUAGAUACUGUCCUUGCCUCUUUAUUGCAGCAAUCUGUAAAAGAGCACCAGGACACAAAUGGACAAAGCUGGAGAAAACCCUGUGUUCUUCUCUGCAUAUAGCCUUGUUCACCUGCAUAAGGCAGUGGGAAAUCUCUGUGUUUAGGCCCUGAGAAGGUUGGGUGUUAGCAUGGGAAUCUACAGGGUUGGAACCACCUGGAGUGCCCUGAGCAGGCCUGUGCUGUGCAUGGGUGUGUGUUAUGCAGGACAGAGUCAUGGGAUGGGUCAGCUAAGAAGGGACCUCAAGGGGUCACUGCUCCAACCUCCCUGCUCAAGCAGAGUCAUCCCAGAGCACAUGGCACACGACUGUCUCCACAGGGUUCUGGAAUAUCUCCAGAGAGGGAGGCUCCACAGCUUCUUUAGACAGUCUCUUCCUUUGCAUGUUCUUCAACUCUGGAAAGCUCCUACCACAGAUUCAGGUGGAACUUCAUGUGCAUCAUUUUCUGCCUCUUGUCCUAGUGCUUGGCAUCACAGUGACGAACCUGGAUCCAGCUCUUGGAACCCUGCCUUCAGAUUCUGGUGGGCAUUGAUGAGGGGGCCACUUAGUUGUUUCUUCUCAAGGCAGAACAGGCCAAGCUCCCUCAGCCUUUAUUCACUAAAGAUGUGCUCUGUGGUGGAACCUGGUGUGUUUUGUUCAUGUUCUGUUCACUAAAGGGCUAAAGAUAGAGGGAAUAAAACACUUAGACCUAAAACCAUGUGUAACCAAAACCGCAUACAAUCACAAGUAUAUUUUUGCUUAAUAAAUGCUUGCUUAAAAUAUUUUUGCUUAAUAAAUGCUUGCUCAAUAAACCAUAAGUUCUAGAAUUUUAGGUAUGACCACUAGAUGAGGAGGAGUCGACUGGAGGACGGCCGGGGAGGACUAGCAGCCUUCAUCAGACAACUACCAGCAGAGGACGACCCCUUAGCAACAAGAAGACACAUGCGCAGAGUACUUUCUGGACACGUCACCAACGAGAAGAGAUACAGUAUAAAAGUUAGACUACAUCGAAUAGUGGGUGCAGCAGUCCUUGGCGAGCGGAGGCUCCCCUGUCGCCCAGCACUGAUUUUGCUUAUGCCUUGCUUGCUGUAAUUAAUAAAUUCCAAUUGGACUAAGCUUAUUGGAGUUCGCUUCAAUUCAUAACAAUUUGGUGCCGUGACUCGGAUGGGAUAGCUUCGGUAGAACCGACCUGCCGAGGAGGCGCCCCACCACUGGUUCUGGUGGCCUCGGUAGUUCCGAACUCUGCCCCACUCCCACCGACGAACCUAAAUUCAAGGCAGUAAGCAAAGGAAACCGGUUGGCCCUUUAAACUUUGUGCACAAAGGUCCGGACGAAGACGCAGGACGCAAACCGCAGUUAGAAUGGCGGAGAAGGGAUGGACACAUGCUAGCAGAAUCAAAGGACCGGUCGAUGAACCAACUUCCGAGUGGAAAGUAACCAGUCCUCCUGGAGACUUAAAACUGAAGAUCCAAAAGGACAAUUGUAAAUGAACAAGUAUAAUGUAGAUUAUGCAUCAAAGGUCUACUUUACUGAAGAAGGGUUAAUUUGUAACUCAGAUGUUAGAAUAAGGUGUAGAAAUCCCCAGUGUAAUUGCUACCCUUUUGUGUGUUAUAUUUGUAAAGUAUGCGGGGACAAGUGGUGGGGCCAUUGUAGGCGGGGAAUACCACCGAGGGAGGUUUGCACCCCUUGCUGGAAGCUUCAGCGAGAUAUAACAGAUUGGGUCUUAGCUUAUAAAGUUUCUCAUGAGAAUUUAGUUAAAGAAUCAGAGGAGUGGUGGAAAAUUUUUGCAUAUGGGAUCGAGCCAAAAUACUAUUGUUAUCACUCAAACGAACCGAUCCCCUUUGUAAUUGAUAUAGUCAAUUGUACCUGUCGUACUCGUCUUAAGGGAAUCCGAUGUGGUGCACCUGGCAUUAAGAAUUGCCAUUGGGACUCCUAUGUUACGAGGCAAAGGGCACGGCAAACCCACUUCCAAGGGCCUCCUGAAGAAUACCCCUGCUGCCGAGAAGAUGGUAUCCCUCGUGACUCGAAGCAACCGAGUCGACAAGCGAGGCAGAGGACUAAACAACUGUGGAGGAAAGAAUCCCCAAAGUGGGAUAACAAGGCCAUGUUUAUGGAAUUGCCUCAGGAAUGGGAGUAAAAAUAAAGAUCCUUGGCGAGGAAGCAGGCUGUGGGGCUUAGAGGAAAGGAAAACUAAAUCACACCCUUGGGCCUUCAAUGACAUCCUACACUUGACCUGGCAUACUACCUAUAUUACCCUCUUUUUCUUUGUUCUGUGUCUGAAAGGGGGUAGUGCUGAAAUUUCUCAUCAACCGUUUAAAUGGUCAUUGAUAAGGUGGGAGGACCAACAAGUAGUUAAAACAAUCACCACCCCAGGAAGCCCAUCCUUCCAAGUCACUUUGCCAGAACUUGUCACCUUUUGGGAAUACCCUGGUAUGAAAUAUGCACCGUUCUAUAUGUGUCCAGCAUCAAACUCUGGGAAGGGAUAUUGUAAUUACCCAGGAUACAAUUUUUGUGGGUAUUGAGGUUGUGAGACAAUUGCCUUGGCAUGGACUGAGAUACAGGAAGACAAGUUCUUAAAAGUGGGGAGGGGGCCUCCAGGGUGCAUACAACCUGUCCAUGAUCAUCCGGCAAUAACACCGAAGAUAAAUCAGGGCCGAUUUACUAAAGGAUGGUGUCAAUAUCUGUAUUUUAACAUAACUCAGCCAGAUGAUGCUGCAUGGUUAGUUGGUAAGAUGUGGGGAAUUUUAUUAUGGGAAUCGGGAACUGAUAGGGGAGGACGUGUACUCAUAAAAAAAGAGUUAGUACUGCAAGAUAGUACUGGGAAUAACACAUGGGAAAAUGUGGUGCAAGCAAAUGAUUCAAGGGUAACAUCAGAGUCUUUUUGGAGAAUAAUGCAAGUUAGCUUCAAUAUCUUGAACAAAACAAACCCAGAGUUAACUGAGGAAUGCUGGCUGUGUUACAAUAUUCGGCCUCCCUUCUAUGAGGCCAUAGGAGUUGCCACUAAAAUAAAGAGAGUUAAUGAAACUAAUCCUGCAGGGUGUCUUUAGAAACAGAACAAAGAAAUCUCUCAAGGGAUAACACUCUCACAAGUCACCGGCCAGGAGAGAUAUGUAGGAGAAGUUCCCAAGGACAAGCAGCAUCUGUGUAACAUAACUAUAACAAAGAAGGAAUUGAAAGAAAAACCAGCUGACUGGCUUCUGCCAGCUGCAAAUACCAAAUGGAUGUGCCGGAGCAUAGGAGUAACUCCUUGUUUGUCACUUAAAUUGUUUGACUACUCACAUGACUACUGUAUUCAGGUAACUGUUAUACCCAGAAUUACAUACCAUCCCAAAGAUUAUGUGCUUGAACAACUUAGCACUACAGAACACCAUUUAACAAAAAGAGAACCCCUCACAGUUCUGACCAUAGCUACUCUUCUCACACUAGGAGGAGUAGGAGCAAGUACGGGAGUGGCUUCCUUUGUGACUCAGUAUAAAGAGUUUAGAGAGUUAAGGAUUACUGUAGAUGAAGAUAUCAGUAGGAUAGAACAGGCCAUUUACGAAUUAGUGAAGUCAGUAAGAUCUUUGUCCGAAGUGGUUUUGCAAAACAGGAGGGGACUAGAUUUGGUGUUCCUACAGCAAGGGGGGCUAUGUGUGUCAUUAAAAGAAGAAUGCUGUACUUAUGCUGAUCAUACUGGAGUAGUCAUGGAUACUAUGGCAGAGUUAAGGAGACGAUUGGAACAAAGAAAGAAAGAAAGGGAAACACAUCAAAAUUGGUAUGAAUCAUGGUUCAACUACUCCCCAUGGCUAACCACUCUUGUCAACCAUUGCAGGUCCCUUGAUUCUACUAAUACUUGUACUUACCUUCGGACCCUGUAUACUUAAUAGGUUAGUUGACAUAGUAAAAGGACGACUGGAAGCUGCACAUCUGAUGCUUAUUAGUACUGAGUAUGAACAGGAACCGGGGGAUGAGACAUUGGAUACGCUUGAACUAGCGAGACAGGAGUUGCAAAGAUUUGAGUUGCAAAGAUUUAGUGAACAAAAAUGAACAAGAGAAAAAGGGGGGAUUGUGGUGGAACCUGGUGUGUUUUGUUCAUGUUCUGUUCACUAAAGGGCUAAAGAUAGAGGGAAUAAAACACUUAGACCUAAAACCAUGUGUAACCAAAACCGCAUACAAUCACAAGUAUAUUUUUGCUUAAUAAAUGCUUGCUUAAAAUAUUUUUGCUUAAUAAAUGCUUGCUCAAUAAACCAUAAGUUCUAGAAUUUUAGGUAUGACCACUAGAUGAGGAGGAGUCGACUGGAGGACGGCCGGGGAGGACUAGCAGCCUUCAUCAGACAACUACCAGCAGAGGACAACCCCUUAGCAACAAGAAGACACAUGCGCAGAGUACUUUCUGGACACGUCACCAACGAGAAAAGAUACAGUAUAAAAGUUAGACUGCAUCGAAUAGUGGGUGCAGCAGUCCUUGGCGAGCAGAGGCUCCCCUGUCGUCCAGCGCUGAUUUUGCUUAUGCUUGCUUGCUGUAAUUAAUAAAUUCCAAUUGGACUAAG